CGGAGCUGUUUUCAGAUGAGUUUUGAAUACCACAUUCAUGCAUGUGCUGGACACACUUGGUUUUACAGCUCCUCUUUCGCCCUCGACCUGCAUUAGCUCUUCCUAUGAGCUCCACACAGAGGGCAGGACGCAGGACUUUGAAAUAACUACGUUGUGAAACCCAGCACAGUCGAGGAUUUUUUUUUAAAAAAGGUGACGGAUUGUAACAAACUCCCAGAUUAAAACCAAUGCAGGUAAACUUCUGUCUUGUAUCGCAUCGAUCUCUCACUUACAGAAGUGUUACCAGAACUAAACCUUAAAACUCUUUUCUCAAAGAAACUUGGAAACUUACUAGAAACAGCAGUGCAGCAAGGGGAUUUUAACACGAACCCCCUGUACAGAUCAUGUAGCAAUUCCACCCGAGUAUUGAUCUAUCCUGCACUGAGCACUUCAAGAGGAACGUGUUAUCCUGGAGCACUGUGCUGUGCUGUAUUGCACUCACCUCCGAGUAAAAGAUCCCCAUCAGUGCCCUGGACGCUCUGAGAGCCAGGCAGCGGUAAAACAGGCGGAAAAGUCGAACUCUUAGGCUGUGCCCAGUGCAGUGGUUCUCUCAAUAGGAACCGUCAACUGAGAGGGAAUACUCCCUCAGCCUUCCACAAACUUUACCCAAACACGCCACAAAAAUGCCAACAUUUGAACCAGUUUCAAAGAAAGGGGGCUUCGGACGUUCAACAAAAAAUAAACCGGUUGUACGAAGGCUGAAGGUGGGAGUGUCAGUUAUUCACAGCACGUUCAUUGGACAAGGUUGUGUUGAGACUUCUGGAAUGUAAAGGAACAAGUCGGUGCAGGUGAAAGCUGAGAAUUUUCUUUUGGCUCGGUGUUAGACUAACUUGUCUCGAAUCAGACCCAGUUAUAUUUUCUGUUUUAUCCCGAGAACAUCUCACCAUUUACCAGCUUUGCAAAAUUGCUGUCACUCUUUCUGAUCACAUUUUCCUCCUCUCAGUUGCCAAUGUUAAUUCGCCCCAAUUUGUUAAUUCCGUUUAAAACACACUGUUGAGAUCCGCAAUUAAAUGUGUACACCGAGUUCAUUAUACCUUGUAUUGCUGAACUUGUAUUAAUGUGGAACGUGAUUUUAUGAUCUGCACCGUCUGGAAAGACAAUGGAAGUCGAUUCAAUAGUAAUGUUCAAAACAGAAAUGGACAAACAUGAGCAGAAGCAGACCAUUCUUUGAGUCGCAAUGAAUAAUAGAAAAGCCGAGGAUUUUGCGUUCAGAGGAAACAGUUUAAAAUGAGUUAAGAUACUUUAAAUGACUGUGAAGCCAUGUGACCUGAACGUAGCCAAAUUCAACAAGAAUUUAUAACGGAAUGUAACGUGGCUGGACCUGUCCACCACAUCCUGAAAAGGCCAUACAACAGCAAUGACGUUACAACUCAUCACCUGGACUGUAUGUGGUUCACUAGAGACGUUCAAAUCUCUCUGGGCUCAAGACUUGGCAAUUACAGGAAUUUCAAGAACAAGUACUAUCCUCCAAAAGGCUGUAAAAGGAAAUAUUAAACCGUUCAUGCUGUCCUCCUCUGCUUCUUCCAUCUAUUUCAAAGCAUAACAGGGCAACUCUGCCGUUAGAUUGUCAGAACUCUUUACAUUAAAGUAGAUUGCCCCCAACUUGCACAUCAAACCACCCCACUUCUGGAAGAAGCCAUGACUGUAGAUAUUUUUAUGUCAACCUAUUCAGAUACAUCUCUCAGGUAGCUGAGACUUGAACCUGGAGCUUCAGGCCCAAAGGUAGGGACACUGCCACUGCACUACAAGACCCCAAGCCAUGACUGUAAUUUUGUGGUUUUGCUACAAAAAGUAGUAAUGUCAAGAGGAAAGCUUUGCCGCAGAAUAUAAAAGCAUGCAUGCGUAUCACUUUGCAGUCAUCAAGCUGGAUCCCCAUCUCUGUGACAUGUUGGAAUAAAUCUGAGAUGAAGAUUUGAAAUUAAAAGAGACUUCAAGUGCCAUUGUUCUGACUCUGGUCGAAGUACUGAUUGCAAUUUAAAGCUGUCACCAGUAGAUCAACCAGCUCAGCCACAGGCCUCUCUGGAACUUCAAAGAUGAGACUGGAAUUGUUUAAAUUGUUGACAUGGAGGUGCCAGUAUUUGUCUGGGAUGGAAAAAGUCAGAAGUCACCUGAUGAAGGAGCAGCGCUGCAAAAGCUUAUGAUUUCAAGUAAACAUGUUGCACUAAAACCUGCUGCUGCUAGAUCUGCUGAGCUCUUCCAACAACUUCUGUUUGUGUUCCUGAUUUACAGCAUCCACAGUUCUUUUGGUUUUUGUUGAAAGAUGUCUUGGUCAAGAAUAGAUGAUGAAGAUACAUUUCCUCGAAAAAGCCAAAAUACGUGUAGUGGCGUGCAUAGACUCACCUAUUGGAUUUGUAAAAACCACCUCAGGUACAGGUGGACCUUUCUGGAGAUUUCCCUGAAGCUUUCCUCAGCUUGCUAAGACACCAAGAAGAAUUCCAAAAAGAAUGACCAUUUUAAAAAUUUAAUUCUUGCAGUGUGAGCAUCUCUUGAUGAGGCUGUCGAGUGUCUUGCCUGACUGUAAUUACCAUUGACUAGAUUGUGGUAACUGCAUUCCUGAACCACUGCAAUAUGGAUUUUUAACCCAGUGACAGAAAGUGAUAUAGUUCCAAGCCAAGAUUGUAUAUGUUUUAGAUGGAAACUUGGAAUUGGUGCUAUUCCCAUGUAUUUGUAGUUUUUUUUGUCUUCCAGGUGGUAGAGUUCACAGGUUUGUAAGGUGCUAUUAAAUGCAUAGCCGUUUUC